rnacentral:rRNA from 1 species
GACGAACGCUGGGGGCGUGCUUAACACAUGCAAGUCGAACGGAAAGGCCCUGCUUUUGUGGGGUGCUCGAGUGGCGAACGGGUGAGUAACACGUGAGUAACCUGCCCUUGACUUUGGGAUAACUUCAGGAAACUGGGGCUAAUACCGGAUAGGAGCUCCUGCUGCAUGGUGGGGGUUGGAAAGUUUCGGCGGUUGGGGAUGGACUCGCGGCUUAUCAGCUUGUUGGUGGGGUAGUGGCUUACCAAGGCUUUGACGGGUAGCCGGCCUGGGAGGGUGACCGGCCACAUUGGGACUGAGAUACGGCCCAGACUCCUACGGGGGGCAGCAGUGGGGAAUAUUGCACAAUGGGCGGAAGCCUGAUGCAGCAACGCCGCGUGCGGGAUGACGGCCUUCGGGUUGUAAACCGCUUUCGCCUGUGACGAAGCGUGAGUGACGGUACUGGGUAAAGAAGCACCGGCUAACUACGU